GACGUUGUAACCGACUUUACAGGCCAAAUGCACACCUUUGAUGCCCACUGGCAUACUGAAGAUGUGUCCAGGUUACAAGUGUACUAGGCAGUAAUGUUGCUUUGGCCCUCCAGGACCGUAGUUAAACAGUCCUUCUACAAAGGUUUCACAAAUGUUUAUUUAACUGGCGACAAUACCACACUUAGCAUUUUUUUUAAUACAAAUUAAAUGUCCCAACUUGCCACUAAAGGUGUAUACAUUUGGCGGUAUCAAGAGAACAAAAAAUAGUCUCAAUUUUCGAAGAAGAGUAACUAAUGUGUUUUUUUUCAUAACGUAGUAGAGAUCCUAAGCUAUUUAAAAUAGUAUGAUGUUGGGGUUAAACAAUGGAAUUACUCUGUAAAGGGUUAAGGAAAGCACAUUUUUAGAAAGUGUCCCAUCUUCACCAUAGUCACCCUAUAUCUUGCAGUCUACGUCGGCUAAGAACAUGUACUAAAAUAAGAUUGACAAUCUGUUUGUAGAUAAUAGGUUGUAAGUACUUGUUUCAUGUUGGUACUGUCUAUUACAAACUUAUCAUAAUUAUUCCCAAUCAUGCGUGUGUUUAUUAUGUGUAUUUGUGAAGUACAACGUUGUUGUUGUGUGAUAUUUUUGGCCCACUCGACUUUUACUUUCUAUUUUUCCUUAAAGGAUGCUUCGCGCCGAGGGACCACCUUGGAAGCGCAUUAAUGAACAACCAACCACCCAGUCAGAAAGAUUGAGCAAUAAAACAAAUGUAUAUUAAAAUAUCUGACCUUAAUAGGCCUGCACCCAGAACACAGAUGUCCAAAAUAUGAAUUUAAAGUAAUGUAUAUAUAUACAUACAUCCCUUUAACGCACAUUAUUAAUUAGCCUAUAUAUUUAAUACACACACACACACACACACACACACACACACACACACACACAUACACACCUUAAUUAUAUAUAUAUAUAUAAUUAAUAAUGACAUUAUUCAAAACUAGUACACAAUAUUCAAAGGUUUCUAAGUAUGUUAUUACUCCAAUAACAUACUUAGAAAAGUUAAAUAAUGUUACAUGGAUUAAAUGAACAUGCUGUCUGAGAGUAUCUUUUAGGAUCUCAUCAACUUCAACACAUGUCACACACUGCCUGUAAAAUUAUAGCCCUAGCUUUUACCAUACGUCUGAAACAAUUUAUAAGGUCAAGUACACCGUAACCAUGUAAAACAUUUUAAAACUCAAACUGUAUUGAAUGUUUAAUAUUCCUCUCCAAUAAACGAGACUGGAUGCUUGUGCUUUCUGAAAAGCUAUUUCACUAGACUACCUUUCCCGUAUUUAUAUUAAAUAUUAUUUUAAUUUCCUAAUAUUAACGGCACGUUGUAGGAUACACAUCUCAUUGCAUAGUAGCAGAAUGUAAACACAUUGUACGCUUUUAAAUACUUCCAUUCCACUUCAAGAGGGUUAUGUAAUCGACCAUUGCACCUGCCAUUCCCGAAUUUCAAAAUUCUGAAUUAUAUUCACAAACUUCCCCAUUUCAGAUAAUUAUAUUUCCUCCCCUCUUAUUUUUUGAUAGACAUGCGUAAUAGGCACUAAACUAUACGAUACAAUAACGCAUUUGCCUAGUGUGGAAGGGACCGAAACGUCCUAUGCUUUUCAGGUAACUUUUUUUCUCUUUCCUUUUUGGCUAAUGAACUCGGCGCUUCUGCCAGCAUCCCCCUGAGAAUGCUAGGGGAACAUUUCUCUUGUGGUAUAAGGUGCGAGAUUUUCUCCCUCUAUCUUUCUGCUAAUUAGGCGGGGGUCUGAACACUGUAUGAGAUGAAUAUUCAUGAAAUGGCACCAGGGCGCAAUUAGUCGCGGAGAGAGUUCCUCACUUCAAUCCCCGACCAGCACCGCGCGCAACGGAAUGCGGUACCGGUCCCCUUACUCGAGAUUCGUCUGUGGUGCCCAGCCAACCACUCUUUGAACAGUCUAUUUGUGUCCGCUCCUUUCCUGUCGUUCAUAUUUUAAAGCAGCCAGACACCAAAAUGGCCCACUUAAUAACACUUCCCAAAAGAGAAAUAUAAAUAAUACACAACAACAAGGAAACGGUAUUGCAUGUUUUGGGAAAUUAUGCUUAUGCUGAGGAGAACUUGUUGUUCCAUUUCGUUUUAAUAGUAGUAGUAAUUGUAAUCGUAAUAGUAGUAGUAAUUGUAAUCAUAAUAGUAGUAGUAAUUGUAAUCAUAAUAGUAUUAAUAAUUGUAAUUAUAAUAGUAGUAGUAAUUGUAAUCAAAAAUAGUAGGUGUAAUUGUAAUCAUAAUAGUAGUAGGGAAGUUCAUUGUGAAAGCUAAAAUCACGAUUGAAAGUUUAAAAAGCACAGGAGAAUGUCACAAUAUCGAAAACACUCAAUAGAUUAAUCAAAGCAAAGGUAAACGUAAACACACACUCACAAACACACACUAAUCAAUACCACAAUUAAAGCCCACACACAAUUCACCAUAUCAGUGAUGCAUUUCACUCUGUGACUUCCAUACCCUCCAUCCAACUCUGUAAGGGGUUUUAAAGCAUCAGGCUGGGCUCUCAUCCCCUAAGCCCCAUCUCAGCCCUGUCUACCUGUCUCCCGGGCUCGGGGUGCCUGGGUUCCAGCCAUCAGCCCUAACCUGGGCACAUUCCUGCCUGUCUGUCUGUCCACAGAGGGACCCAAUUCUCCACUUUGAAUUCAAGGGGCCUGAAGACAACGCAGAAGCGGCUCAGCAACAUGCAGGUUACUACCUCGACAGAACAGGACGAACCACUCCAUGUGGUGGGCUGAGUCGCAUGUCCUACACACACGUUUUCCCUGUGCAAAGUGUCCACCUGCCCUGUUCUCCCUGUCACCAUAGACAUCCUUUACAUCCGCCUCUCUCAUUCUUAAUAUCUUUUCCGCAUCCCGGACCCAAACUAGUUGUCAUCCUCACAGACACGGAGAUAAAGAGAGAGAGACAGAGAGAGACAGGGAAAGAAACAGAGAGAGACAGACAUUGAUGGAGACAGAGAACAAGAUCGCCCACGCUAACAAAAGCAAAUUAAUUUGUUGUACUUGAUGACACUUAUUGACACAUUGCAUUUCUCUUCUUGAGGAAAAAGUUAGGUAAACUUCAUGUUUUCUUCUUGUUCUCUUGCAUUGUUUCUUGUGUGUGAUAUGAAGUGAUUGUACGCGAUGAUAGUGUCCGUGAACACUUUGGUUUAAAUAUCAGGUAGUGAUACUAUUUACUGCGUACAUAACCAUAGAAUCAGACUGACUUAGUGACUUUCUUUCGAUCCUUGUAGCGAUUGUCUUUCUAUGUCCUGUGAUCAGACUUACCUGUAAACCCUUAUGGAAGGAUAGGAUUAAAGCUGCAUAUGUCUGUGCCCAACAACCUCUUGAGUGCCAUUUCAAUAUAUUUUCAAGUAGUGGAUUUAAAAUGUUCAGAUAGAUAGGCUUACUUAAUCUCAAUUCUGAUUUUGCUCUUACCUUUAAGUAUGGAUAUGCUUACUGUGCAUACAAAGCAUAAAUAAAGCAGGGACAACAAACCUACAACACGCAAGACAUCAAACCCAUUAAGAAACGUCUUCACAGCAGUUGAGGGGGAGAGGGAGAGAGAGAGAGAGAGAGAGAGAGAGAGGAGAAAGACAGAAAGACAGAGACUGUGUUUGAUACAGGAGUCUUCUCUGGAGCAACUAGUCCCCUAAGAUUGCUCUGGUUCUGCUACAAUAACAGACUCUACAUCAUACACACACACACACGCACGCAUGCACACACACACACACACACACACACACACACACGCAUGCACACACACACACACACACAUUACUGCACACUCACCAGAGAACUUAGCUACAGACAGAGGCUCACUGGAAAGUUAUUAAUGAACUGUUUAAUUUUAAUUAGAUAGUAAUUCAUGUUAAUGCUUGCUUAAUGGGGCCAAAUAAUUCCCCUUGGUCAAUUGGGGUCUUUAUGCUUCGUUUACCGGCCCCCGCAGUUAUUCUCCCUUUUGUUUUUAUAUUACAUUUCAAGUCUUUCUAGAGAAUGUGAUUAUACCACGAAUAAGGGAAACAUAUGGAGCAAUUGAGGCGUGCGUGGGUGGUGUGUGUGUGUGUUUGCAAUUGUGUGUAUGUGUGUGCGUCCAUUCUGUUGGGAGGGGUUUUGUGUGCAAGUGCGUUUGUUUGAGUGUGCGUGUGUGCGUUAGGUAGUGCGCGGCUCUCAUUUCCAAAUGUGCCACACAGUAAAUUGAUUAAGUUCCGACCAAAGGUCGAGUAUUGAACGGACACCGGGGUCAAAUCUUUCAGGUUGAAGUGCAGCCGGCGAUACGUGCACAUACGCUGACCGACUACUGCCGGGUCACGACCCGGUGACGAGGGUGCGGUCAGAAGUUCAACCAUCCAGCGGUGUCUCAUACCGCUGUGGUUCUGGCGGGGUUUUCAACAUGCCCGGCUGGGUUAAAAGAUGGGAACACGGGCCCCGGGUACAGGAGCGAGUUUACCGAAUGCGUGGCUCGUGGCCCGAAGGACUGACCGGCCCGUCUCACCGCCGCCUGCCCUGCGUGGGUCGAGCCGGGGUCACGCCGGGCACUGAGCCAGACGGCUGAAUCCAGUUAGAGGACGCAGACUGCUUUUAAUUGUUGAUUGACCAGUCUGAGUGCUGCAUGUGCUCGGGUCAUUUAAGAUUAGAGAGGGGGAGGUCCCUAGACCCCAGGUGCAAUUUCAGCCACCAAGCGAAGGGCGGGCGGGGGGGGAGGCGCUGACGGAGUGAAGGGGGUGGGGGGUUGGAAAGGAUUUUGUUUGUCCUCUUCCUCGUACGUGCGAUCGAUGGAAGCGAUUCAUGUUAAGGGGUUUUUAAGCAAAAGCACGCGACCACCGAGUACUCAAACGGUUAUCCGAGUUCAGUGUUGAUCCGACCCGCUACGACAAAUCCACGCCAUUUCAUCCGUCUGUCUGUUCGACAAUUAAACACGUUACCUGGCAUCCGUCCCGUUGUUUGCUUUCACUUUCCUCCUUUCCCCUUCAUCCCUCACCUGCCCCCCACCCCCGGCCCCCCGCCCCCAUACACACACACACCCACCACACCCUUCCUUUAAUUCGACACAGGGGCACCAAAGCCCACUCUUGCGGUUUUAGCAUGUGGGGAUGGGGGGUGUUCUCUUGCCCCCUCCCUCACAGCAGGUGUGCGUUCUUCCCCAACGUUUGUUAUCUCCAAUCCUGCAGGUUCCCAGCACAAAACGAGCGUAGUAAAGUCUCUCACAGCCCUAAUCCCUCCAACCCUCCUCUCCUUUUAUACAUGGCGUUUUCUCUCAAUUUUUGGGGGACUGGGGGGGGGGGUGACAAGAGACUCUCCGCUCCUCUGAUUGCCACACAGUUUUCUUUUUUUCUUUCUCCAAGCCCCUACUAAAUUCGGAACGGUGGGGGCCUCUUCUUUUUAGCGGUACGCUCUCGACUUCUCCUUUUUGCCCCCCGUCCCAGUAUCAUUUACAGUCAUUUUCUGGCAAUUAAAAGGGAGUUCUGCUCAAGGUUUCGCCUGCAGUGCAACACUACCCCACCAAUGAAUAAUUCUCAACCCCGCAAACUGGAAAGCCAGCCUUUCUUUCAUGUGGGGCUUUGUUGAUUUACCAUUAAAACUUACUCUGCGGUGGUCUGGGAUCUGGAGGGCUGCUGUGCUCUGUGGUUUGGUUAGUGAUGGAGAGGGUAGCAUUAAAUACGAAGUGUACACAUGUUUCGUGUCAGUUUUUCAUAACGUCGAGUGUUGACUCAUUUCCGGGCAUCUGUCGAAAGUUUCACACCCUGUACUGUCCACUGAUUGGACGUGGAUUUGAUGGUGCUCACUCGUCUUAACGGCCUUAAUUAAUCUAACUGAAUUUGGUAAUCCUUAUAGUUAAUACAGCUUUAUUGGUGUGUUUAGUGAUUUGACAGCACACGCGGAUGCGCUCGAUCACGCACACACCCACCCACACACAUGCUUUGUCCCUCACCGUGAGCGAUGGCUGGUUGUGGGCGACAGUAUGGUGAACGAUGCCGGUCACCAGCCAAGCUCCGUUAACUGCUCCAGCCCUGAGUAAUGAACGGCAGCCACUCCUCCAGGACCAGGAGGGGGGUGUGGGCCAGGCUUGACCCAGGCCAGAGGGGCCUCGUCUGGGCCCUGGAGGUCGCAGCUCACGCUGUCACCACUGUGUCCCCUGUUACACACACGGGCACUCAGCGACAUAAAAUCUCCCUCCCACCAUUCAUACCGACACAGACAUGAACACAGGGACACAUAAUGAAGACCUGGCGCUGGUGGCUGGAGGCGAUCUCUCUGUCUUUCCCUCUGUGUCUCUCUGUGCCUACACUCCUCUCGUUUUCUGUCUCCCUCUCUCCCUCUCUCUGAUCACUGUCACCCAGAUCUCUCUGGAAAUCGUAGACAGGUAGUGAACUGUUCCGCACAGCUGAUCAGAUGAUGGCACACAGAAACAAAUACACACACGCACAAAAAAACUAAAACACACACUCACACAAACAAACCUCAAGCCUUUCACUGCUAGGGGGACAUAGACUGGAGGGUGACACCUACUAAUAAGUGUUUCCUCUGUGUGUGUGUGUGUGUGUGUGUGUGUGUGUGCUGCUAAACUCUCGCUGGAAUUGCAUCAAAAUUUCAGCUCUCCAUAAUGUGCCUGUUUGUACUGUCGCCAAAUGUUGCUUCACUGAACUCCAUUAAUAAAAUACUCAUUUGAAUUGACAAUGUGUUGCUGUAAUAUCAUGUAUAGCGAUGCAUUAUUUCAAUCUGUGUAAUGACUAUGCAAAACAUCAAAAUAAAG
ensembl:lncRNA